rnacentral:rRNA from 1 species
GACGAACGCUGGCGGCGUGCAUAAUACAUGCAAGUAGUACGCUGAAGAGAGGAGCUUGCUCUUCUUGGAUGAGUUGCGCGGGUGAGUCACGCGUAGGUAACCUGCCUUGUAGCGGGGGAUAACUAUUGGGAAACGAUAGCUAAUACCGCAUAACAAUGGAUGACACAUGUCAUUUAUUUGAAAGGGGCAAUUGCUCCACUACAAGAUGGACCUGCGUUGUAUUAGCUAGUAGGUGAGGUAACGGCUCACCUAGGCGACGAUACAUAGCCGACCUGAGAGGGUGAUCGGCCACACUGGGACUGAGACACGGCCCAGACUCCUACGGGAGGCAGCAGUAGGGAAUCUUCGGCAAUGGGGGCAACCCUGACCGAGCAACGCCGCGUGAGUGAAGAAGGUUUUCGGAUCGUAAAGCUCUGUUGUAAGUCAAGAACGAGUGUGAGAGUGGAAAGUUCACACUGUGACGGUAGCUUACCAGAAA